rnacentral:rRNA from 1 species
AUUGAACGCUGGCGGCAUGCUUUACACAUGCAAGUCGAACGGCAGCGCGGGCUUCGGCCUGGCGGCGAGUGGCGAACGGGUGAGUAAUGCAUCGGAACGUGCCCAGUAGUGGGGGAUAGCCCGGCGAAAGCCGGAUUAAUACCGCAUACGACCUGAGGGUGAAAGCGGGGGACCGAAAGGCCUCGCGCUAUUGGAGCGGCCGAUGUCGGUUUAGCUAGUUGGUGGGGUAAAGGCUUACCAAGGCGACGAUCCGUAGCUGGUCUGAGAGGACGACCAGCCACCCUGGGACUGAGCCACGGCCCAGACUCCUACGGGAGGCAGCAGUGGGAAUUUUGGACAAUGGGGGCAACCCUGAUCCAGCCAUGCCGCGUGCGGGAAGAAGGCCUUCGGGUUGUAAACCGCUUUUGUUCGGGAAGAAAUCCUCUGGGCUAAUACCCCGGGGGGAUGACGGUACCGGAAGAAUAAGCACCGGCUAACUACGUG